rnacentral:rRNA from 1 species
AUUGAACGCUGGCGGCAGGCUUAACACAUGCAAGUCGAGCGGUAACAGAGAGAAGCUUGCUUCUCUGCUGACGAGCGGCGGACGGGUGAGUAAUGCCUAGGAAUCUGCCUAGUAGUGGGGGAUAACUUGCCGAAAGGUAAGCUAAUACCGCAUACGUCCUACGGGAGAAAGGAGGGGACCUUCGGGCCUUUCGCUAUUAGAUGAGCCUAGGUCGGAUUAGUUAGUUGGUGAGGUAAUGGCUCACCAAGACCGCGAUCCGUAACUGGUCUGAGAGGAUGAUCAGUCACACUGGAACGGAGACACGGUCCAGACUCCUACGGGAGGCAGCAGUGGGGAAUAUUGGACAAUGGGGGGAACCCUGAUCCAGCCAUGCCGCGUGUGUGAAGAAGGUCUUAGGAUUGUAAAGCACUUUAAGUUGGGAGGAAGAGCAGUUAACUAAUAUUUGACUGUUUUGACGUUACCGACAGAAUAAGCACCGGCUAACUUCGUGCCAGCCGCCGUAAUAC